UACAUAGGGAGCGAGCGUUAUCCGGAAUUAUUGGGCGUAAAGAGUGCGUAGGCGGUUUAUUAAGUCGGGCGUGAAAUGCCGGGGCUAAACCCCAGUCUGCGUUCGAAACUGGUAAACUCGAGUACGGUAGAGGUAAGUGGAAUUCCAUGUGUAGCGGUAAAAUGCGUAGAUAUAUGGAGGAACACCAGAGGCGAAGGCGGCUUACUAGGCCGGCACUGACGCUAAUGCACGAAAGCGUGGGUAGCAAACA
rnacentral:rRNA from 1 species